CUGUCACGUGGGUUAAGAAUUGCGAUUCCAUUCGAUUCCAUUCAAGAUGGAAUGAAAAUGAAACCAUGGCUAGACCAAAAUGUCCCCUUACUUUCCCCAAUUAUUUCCCCAAAUUGAAACCUGGGUUGAAAUCAACGAUUUGCAUAAGCUCACUCGCUUCAGAUUAUUCAUCUUGAUUAAAGGUAAGCAAUCUGGAAUUUUACGAUUUCUACUAGUUGAUUUCCAAACAUUUUAACAUUUAAACAUGCAUAUUGCAGACGUAAAAAAUGAUUAUUUGCAGGUAAUUUAUCAAGGCUGGAUAUAAGGUUAUUUUUUUGUAUUGGAGGGUAACCUACCAACUGUAUUGCAGGUUUCUUCCUGAGGAUCCUUUGCUGGAAUGCUUUGAGCUCGUUGAUGAUUUCAAUUUUUAAGGUUUGUAGAUUAUAUUUCUCUCUGUUUUAUAAUUUGACAUUGGUCAUGACCCGAACGCAUUAAAUUGGCUUUGGAUAGGUUCUUUUGUAUAGUAUGAGUUAUUGAAUUACUUCAUUAAAGAAUUCUAUAAGGGGAGGGUGUCAUAAUUUAAUAGAAAUGUGCUUCUUUGUUUCAUGUUCUUUUCUAUAUAUGUUAAGACAUUUGAUGCUGUUCAACUUGUUUUAGAGGAGUUUGGUCGAAGCAUCGGUGAAUUUUUUUAGAAUUUUGAUGUAAAUCCUCUCGGUUUUGCAUCAAUCGCACAGGUAUUACUUUUUCAGUUCUUUACCUGGCUUAAAGUUUUAUAUGAGCAUGCUGGGAAGGGUAUAGGUUUAUGUAUUUAAACAUAUAAAAUCUUUGAAGGCUGAACAUUUUCAUUAAAUAAGCUUCAUGCUUGCCAACAUACAAUAGGAUAUGGCACAUUUGUUGUUUUAAUGCUAUCAUAAAGUUUAACAAUUUUGCGAGGUACUUGGGUUCCGAAAAUAGGAUAAUGCUUACAAGAACCGAAUGGAUAUACCUUAACAUAUGUUCAUAUCUAAAUUAGGUUCAUCAAGCAAGAUUGAGAGGUGAUAAGAUCGAUGUUGUUGUUAAGGUGCAACAUUCGGGAAUCCAGGAUCUUAUGAUGACUGAAAUUUGUAAAUUGCAAGCAUUUGCACAAUACAUUCAGUGUCGAAACUUUUUUGGAAAUUGAUUUUUAUUUUAAAUCGAGAAUGGAGUCGCCACCGAUCCUUUUUAUUUGGUA